AUUGAACGCUGGCGGCAGGCCUAACACAUGCAAGUCGAGCGGACGAUGGGAGCUUGCUCCUGGUUCCAGCGGCGGACGGGUGCGUAAUCCCUAGGAAACUGCCUGGUAGUGGGGGAUAACGUCCGGACACGGGCGCUACUACCGCAUACGACCAGAGUGAGAUAGUGUGGGAUAUUCGGACAUCACGCUAUCAGAUGAGCCUAAGUCGGAUUAGCUAGUUGGUGGGGUAAAGGCCUACCAAGGCGACGAUCCGUAACUGGUCGGAGAGGCUGAUCAGUCACCCUGGAAGUGGGACACGGUCCGGACUCCUGCGGGAGGCGGCAGUGGGGAAUUUUGGACCGUGGGCGAAGGCCUGAUCCAGCCAUGCCCCGUAUGGGAAGAAGGUCUUCGGAUGGUAAAGCACUUUAAGUUGGGAGGAAGGGCAGUAAGUUAGUACCUUGCUGUUUUGACGUUACCAUCACAAUAAGCACCGGCUAACUUCGUG
rnacentral:rRNA from 1 species